GCGCCAGUAGCUCAGUUGGAUAGAGCAACGGCCUUCUAAGCCGUCGGUCAGAGGUUCGACUCCUCUCUGGCGCA
rnacentral:tRNA from 1 species